AUGUGUCACGUGGACACUGCGGUUCCUGCGCGUCAUCCGCCCCACGUCUGACGACCGCUCGCUAGCUGCGCUGACC
rnacentral:sRNA from 1 species